CCUACGGGUGGCAGCAGUGAGGAAUAUUGGUCAAUGGGCGAGAGCCUGAACCAGCCAAGUAGCGUGAAGGAUGACUGCCCUACGGGUUGUAAACUUCUUUUAUAAGGGAAUAAAGUGAGGCACGUGUGCCGUCUUGUAUGUAUUUUAUGAAUAAGGAUCGGCUAACUCCGUGCCAGCAGCCGCGGUAAUACGGAGGAUCCGAGCGUUAUCCGGAUUUAUUGGGUUUAAAGGGAGCGUAGAUGGGUUGUUAAGUCAGUUGUGAAAGUUUGCGGCUCAACCGUAAAAUUGCAAUUGAUACUGGCAGCCUUGAGUACAGUUGAGGUAGGCGGAAUUCGUGGUGUAGCGGUGAAAUGCUUAGAUAUCACGAAGAACUCCGAUUGCGAAGGCAGCCUACCAAACUGCCACUGACAUUGAUGCUCGAAAGUGUGGGUAUCAAACAGGAUUAGAUACCCGAGUAGUC
rnacentral:rRNA from 1 species